rnacentral:tRNA from 1 species
GCCUUUGUCGUGUAAUGGUUAGCACAUUCGGCUCGUAUUCGAGAGGUCCAAGGUGCGAGUCUCGGUGAGGGCA